UUUUUUUUGACGAUUUUUUUACCGCCCGGAAAGCCGGAAAUUCAAAAAAAAUGAAAAACGGAGCAAACGUGCGAUUUUUGACAUGGAUUUUUGUGUGCAGCCUUCACAUAAUAUUACCAAGGUUCCCUCAAAAUUUCACGAAAAAUGCACGAGCCAAUUCUGAGAUAUGAAAAUUUGGCUCCUCCGUUGCAACGCUCCGAGCCAUCGUUGCAACGGCGGGUGCCUCCGUGGGGGGCGGGGGAGCCCGGCGGCACACCACAACCACAACGUGCUUGCUAGUGUGCCUAGGGGAUGNNNNN
rnacentral:lncRNA from 1 species